GGGGGUGUAGCUCAGAUGGUCAGAGCGACGGAUUCUUAACCCGUAGGUCGUGGGUUCGAAACCCACCUCCCCCU
rnacentral:tRNA from 1 species